ACCCGAGAGCUUCGCCGCCGGUAAGUCUCGAUUUUCUGUAAUUUUUUGGCCCACCGAGGGCCCUAGGGGUGUUUUAUCACAGGAACUAAUGCAAGUUUGGCUGAAUUCGGCCAAAAACAGCCAACCCGAGGCGGGUUGCCGCUGUGAGUGGCAGCGUCGUCGCCGGAGCACGACGAAGCCGCUGUGCCGAGAUUCUAAAAUUGGCCAAAAAGGCUCU
rnacentral:lncRNA from 1 species